UGUUCGAGGCCCCGAAGACGGCGACAAC
rnacentral:sRNA from 1 species